UACGGAGGGGGCUAGCGUUGUUCGGAAUUACUGGGCGUAAAGCGCACGUAGGCGGAUAGUUAAGUCAGAGGUGAGAUCCCAGGGCUCAACCCUGGAACGGCCUUUGAUACUGGCUGUCUAGAGAUCGAGAGAGGUAAGUGGAAUUCCGAGUGUAGAGGUGAGAUUCGUAGAUAUUCGGAGGAACACCAGUGGCGAAGGCGGCUCACUGGCUCGAUACUGACGCUGAGGUGCGAAAGCGUGGGAAGCAAAC
rnacentral:rRNA from 1 species